AUUCCUCAUGGAUGCCACAUUCCGAUCCUACAUGGUGAUUUUUGUAUUGACACAUCUCCCUUCCAUUUUGUACUCGAUGUCGCCUGGUGAUUGUCCUACUGUGCCUGAUGGUGAUUAUCCUACUACGCCUGUGUCCCAUGGUGCUGAUAUAUAGUGGACAUCAAUGCAAGUUUUGAGAAGGGCAAAGAUAUAUAUAGACAACUGAACUGCCAUCUAUUGCUUAUUUGAAUGCCACCAACUGAAUGUAUUUUCAUUUAUUCGUGUAUUCAUGUGUAUAUAUACAUGUUUAUUUUAAGAGUCAUACGAAUUAUUUGAAUGUAUUGUGCAUUCUCUCAUGUAUGCAAUAAAAUGACUACAAAGAUCAAAUAUAUAUUAGACCACCAUGA